rnacentral:rRNA from 1 species
CUACGAAAGGUGCAAGCGUUGUUCGGAUUUACUGGGCGUAAAGAGAUCGUAGGUGGUUUAUUAAGUCGGAUGUGAAAUCCCGGGGCUCAACCUCGGAACUGCAUUCGAUACUGAUAGGCUAGAGUUUGGGAGGGGUAAGCGGAAUUCCGUGUGUAGCAGUGAAAUGCGUAGAUAUACGGAGGAACACCUGAGGCGAAGGCGGCUUACUGGACCAAUACUGACACUGAGACUCGAAAGCGUGGGUAGCAAACAGGAUUAGAAACCCCAGUAGUCC